rnacentral:lncRNA from 1 species
GUAGGUUAUAGGGUUGUCAUUCUUUCCACUCAGAUUACUUCUUUCUUCAUUACCAAUUAACAUGGCGGCUGCAUCAUGGAGGCUCAUGGUCUGGUCCAGGUCUCACAGCUAAUAUGAGGUAAAGAAAGCAGUGUAACCCCGGGCAUCAGUACAUACAGUGAAGCAGUGGGGAGCAAAGAAGAAGUCUCGAGAAGAUUUCAAGCUGGUUAAAAUGACCAGGGGAGAGAGGAGUUUUGGCUUGGGAAGACAAGAGACACACCCUGAUUUGUUCUGUCCUGUCCAUCAGCACAAACCCUUGGUGUGCUAUGGAUGAUGGAUUAAAGUGAACUAGAUGGGA